GAUCGGGCAGUUGGGGAAAUAUUUUAUUGUAGUUAAAAAGAGGAAAACCGAUUA
rnacentral:tRNA from 1 species